rnacentral:rRNA from 1 species
GACGUAGGAUGCAAGCGUUGUCCGGAUUUAUUGGGCGUAAAGAGUUCGUAGGUGGUUUGUUAAGUCUGAUGUUAAAGACUGGGGCUCAACCUCGGGACUGCAUUGGAUACUGGCAGACUUGAGUGCGGUAGAGGCAAGUGGAAUUCCAGGUGUAGCGGUGAAAUGCGUAGAUAUCGGAAGGAACACCAGUGGCGAAAGCGGCUUCCUGGUCCAGCACCGACGUUCAGGCACGAAAGCGUGGGGAGCAAACAGG